rnacentral:rRNA from 1 species
UGAGGAAUAUUGGGCAAUGGACGCAAGUCUGACCCAGCAACGCCGCGUGAAGGAUGAAUGUCGUAAGAUUGUAAACUUCUGUGAGAAGGGACGAAAAAACAGGCUCAUACCCUGUUCUGACGGUACCUUCAGAGGAAGCCCCGGCUAACUACGUGCCAGCAGCCGCGGUAAUACGUAGGGGGCUAGCGUUGUCCGGAUUUACUGGGUGUAAAGGGCGCGUAGGUGGACUUGUCAGUCAGAGGUGAAACCCUGCAGCUUAACUGCAGAACUGCCUUUGAUACUGCAAGCCUUGAGUCUAGAAGAGAAAAGCGGAAUUCCAGGUGUAGUGGUGAAAUACGUAGAUAUCUGGAAGAACACCAGUUGCGAAGGCGGCUUUUUGGUCUAGAACUGACACUGAGGCGCGAAAGCGUGGGUAGCAAACAGGAUUAGAUACCCUGGUAGUCCACGCUGUAAACUAUGAAUACUAGAUGUUGGCCUUUUGGCCAGCGUCGAAGCUAACGCAUUAAGUAUUCCACC